rnacentral:lncRNA from 1 species
AAAGGAAAUAAAGGAAGAUCUGAAAGACAGCAGAAAAAGAUGAAGCUGCCAUUGGUCAAAUUGUCUACAAUGGCCUUGAUGGAAGAGUGAGAUAUAGCAGAGUAGUAAGACAGACAAGUUCUUGAGGAAGAAGUACAUGAGACUAUGGAGAUGCUGGUCUGGGGUAGAUACUAUAAUGGUAAUGAGAUAGCCAAUAAGGGUCACAAGAAAAAAAAAUAUUACAGGUACCACUCCAGACAGCAGUUUCUGUCACAAAACCUCAGAAAAUUCCCGUGGGUUAUAAUGCCAUGAAAGAUGUGUAGUUCCAGUGACUUUCUUCAGGAUGGGAAAGGGAGAUAUUUUUACAGAGAGAGCUCCUUGGAUACUAAAAACAUUCAUUCUAUAGCCUCUAAUUCACUACCGUGACAUGAUGAAGAAGUCCUUUCUGCUUCAUAUUUUCACUUAUUUUUUGAAAUUAUCUCAUUAAAUAACAUUAGAGUGAAUUCAAGUUGAAAAUCAAAUUAAUGAUUAAACUUUCUGCUUUUCUAUCUACUUUGUUCCACUUAUAAAUAACAUUUUAUGCAAGUGUAUUCUUUUGAUGUUUGUCGUGUUAUUCUUGGCUACUCAUCACCAACCUGAUGGUCUUCCUGAGGAAAAAACAAAGUAAAGUCGUCUUUCAUGCUGAAGGGGGAAAAACGUAGAACUUAUCUAUGCAUCCACCAAGCAGCUGGCCACUUUGGUCCUGAAGACACCAAGAUCUGUUAGAGUGCUGAGCUCAGUUGUCAGCUUCACCACAAAGUAACUGUCACUGACAAGACCCAAUUUAUCCAAAGGUUCUGUAAAAGGAGACCCUAUCACGAUGCCACAACAUGAACCCCUUGAAGUUCAUUUAUACAAUCUUCAACUUACACAUACCUGUUGGUCAUUAGGAUAAAAU